GCGGGUGUGGUGGAAUAGGCAGACACAAGGGACUUAAAAUCCCUCGGUAGCGAUACCGUGCCGGUUCAAGUCCGGCCACCCGCACUA
rnacentral:tRNA from 1 species